UGGAGCAUCAGCUAUGAAGCAUCUGAACUUUAUUUCUAUUAAACGAUUCUUGAAGUGGAUACCACCAUUGGCAAAAACCUCUUGGACUUCAUCUGUGAACAUUUUAAAGAAAUUGGUCGGAUCUUUUGGCUUACUCUUUCCCUGAUAGACACCUGCGAUAAGUAUAGAGCUAUCAGGAAUAUUUAUUAUUCGGAACUGGAUAGGCCAAUAUUGAGUUGAACCGUCUUUUGUGCCAGCAGCUCCGUCAGUACUAACAUCAAUUUCUAAGAUAUUAGUCCCAAUCAAUGUUCUUACGUCUUGUGGCAGAGAAGCCAAACAGCGAUGUGAUCUGAGAACUAUUGAAUCUGAAUCUACACACCCAUAUUCGGAAGAAUUAUCUUUCGCCUUGUGAGCUAAGUUAUUCCAUGUAACUGAACUUUGUGCUUCGU